rnacentral:tRNA from 1 species
CAGUAUAUAGUUUAAAAAAUGUGGAUUUUGGAUAUCUAAGAUAUGUAAUUUGAUUACAUUAUACUGA